rnacentral:rRNA from 1 species
AUUGAACGCUGGCGGCAAGCUUAACACAUGCAAGUCGAGCGGGGUGAUGGUGCUUGCACUAUCACUUAGCGGCGGACGGGUGAGUAAUGCUUAGGAAUCUGCCUAUUAGUGGGGGAUAACGCGGGGAAACUCGCGCUAAUACCGCAUACGUCCUACGGGAGAAAGCGGGGGCUCUUCGGACCUCGCGCUAACAGAUGAGCCUAGGUCGGAUUAGCUAGUUGGUGGGGUAAUGGCCCACCAAGGCGACGAUCCGUAACUGGUCUGAGAGGAUGAUCAGUCACACUGGAACUGAGACACGGUCCAGACUCCUACGGGAGGCAGCAGUGGGGAAUAUUGGACAAUGGGCGAAAGCCUGAUCCAGCCAUGCCGCGUGUGUGAAGAAGGUCUUCGGAUUGUAAAGCACUUUAAGUCGGGAGGAAGGGCUGUAGGCUAAUACCUUGCAGUUUUGACGUUACCGACAGAAUAAGCACCGGCUAACUUCGUGCCAGCCGCCGCGGUAA